rnacentral:rRNA from 1 species
GAUGAACGCUGGCGGCGUGCCUAAUACAUGCAAGUCGAGCGAACAGACGAGGAGCUUGCUCCUUUGACGUUAGCGGCGGACGGGUGAGUAACACGUGGGUAACCUACCUAUAAGACUGGGAUAACUUCGGGAAACCGGAGCUAAUACCGGAUAAUAUUUCGAACCGCAUGGUUCGAUAGUGAAAGAUGGCUCUGCUAUCACUUAUAGAUGGACCUGCGCCGUAUUAGCUAGUUGGUAAGGUAACGGCUUACCAAGGCAACGAUACGUAGCCGACCUGAGAGGGUGAUCGGCCACACUGGAACUGAGACACGGUCCAGACUCCUACGGGAGGCAGCAGUAGGGAAUCUUCCGCAAUGGGCGAAAGCCUGACGGAGCAACGCCGCGUGAGUGAUGAAGGUCUUCGGAUCGUAAAACUCUGUUAUUAGGGAAGAACAAACGUGUAAGUAACUGUGCACGUCUUGACGGUACCUAAUCAGAAAGCCACGACUAACUACGUG